rnacentral:tRNA from 1 species
GGGUCUAUAGCUCAGCGGUAGAGCAAUCGGCUCAUAACCGAUUGGUCCCUGGUUCGAAUCCAGGUAGGCCCA